GUUAACCAGGAAGAAGAGCAACAGAAGUAAAAACAGAUACUAAGAGGAGACGGUGAGAUUCAGGGAGGAGCUCAGACGUUACUGAACUAUAGAAGAGAUGAACUUCUACAUUCAACAGAGUUCAAUAUACGAAGCAUCAACAUCACCUUCCUUCAACAUGCUGUCACCACUGAUGUUUCUAGUUAUUCUACAAGGAUUCAGCUGUGAAGAACUCACACCAGUGAAGAAAGAAGAAAACAGUGUAGAAGACACAACUGUUACUGUGUCCUACAUUUACUCCAGUCAGGCAGCUGGUAGUGAUUAUUUCUUCUGGUAUCGACAAUAUCCAGGAAAACCACUUGAGUUCCUCAUCUCCCAUCUCGGAACAGGAGGAAUAUUGAGGAGUCAAAUGACUGAACUGAUGAUCAAAGUGGAUGGAAACCGAAUCAGUCUGAAGAUCCCGUCUGCUACAGUGUCAGACUCUGCUGUGUACUACUGUGCUGUGAGGCCCACAGUGACAGGAAACACCAAGACUCUGUACAAGAACCUCUCGAGCAAAGACAUCUCUGUACACCAUCCACCAGAGGGAGUCUCCAUCUGAAUAACUUUGAGAUCAGAAGCCAACAAAAGUUCAACCAACUCAACCUACACCAAGGGCAUCCACAGAAGUUAUUCCACGCUGGAAACGUCCUUGAUAACGGAUUAGUUUGUGCUUACAGUAAAUAAAAUAUGCAUUUACAGCGAGAGUAAACAAACCCCUGAUGUUCUUUCUUCUGAGAAGCUGCGAGGCCACGUGUCAACAAUAAGGCCUGUGAGUAAACGGCUGGUCGCCCUCUGAUCCUACCGACCAAUGGGCUGCGUUGUUCUUAGAGCUGAAGGUCCCACCCACCACUGAGUGUAUUAUACAUCCACCGAUAUAUUAUAUCGACAGAGAUAUAUCGAUAGUUACUUUACUACACUGAUACUUUACUACACCUCAGAGGUACAUGUUGUACUAUUUACUGUAGUACACCUCAGGGGUACAAGUUGUACCUUCUACUGUACUACGUCCCAGAAGGUGAAAUAAUGGCCGGUACCUGAGUGUAGUGGUUGGUGUUGUCCUACAGGGGGCAGCAGAGGCCUGACUGUCCUCCACACGGUGUGUUUGGUGAGUGGAGCUUCUCGUCCAUCCCAAAGGUGACCGCUGUCCAGUAACUAUCAAGGCCGUCUCUCUGUCCAGCCGCAGGGACACGAGGACUGACCGGAUGAGGGAAUCUGUGUACAUCUGAGCACCGGGACCGAAACCCACAGUCUCUGUACAGCAACCUGACUGCGCCUGGCUGAGUGUUGCACAUGUGUAAAAGCCAUGAAACACUGGAUGGGAAACAUGCUGAUUCUGACUCUCUGGCUCGGUAACUCUUUAAAGCUCCCGAUAGUUCUGCUUCAUUCA